rnacentral:rRNA from 1 species
AUUGAACGCUGGCGGCAUGCCUUACACAUGCAAGUCGAACGGUAGCGGGCCUUCGGGUGCCGACGAGUGGCGAACGGGUGAGUAAUGUAUCGGAACGUACCUUUCAGUGGGGGAUAACGUAGCGAAAGUUACGCUAAUACCGCAUAUUCUGUGCGCAGGAAAGCAGGGGAUCGCAAGACCUUGCGCUGCUUGAGCGGCCGAUAUCAGAUUAGCUAGUUGGUGAGGUAAAGGCUCACCAAGGCGACGAUCUGUAGCGGGCCUGAGAGGAUGAUCCGCCACACUGGAACUGAGACACGGUCCAGACUCCUACGGGAGGCAGCAGUGGGGAAUUUUGGACAAUGGGGGCAACCCUGAUCCAGCCAUGCCGCGUGAGUGAAGAAGGCCUUCGGGUUGUAAAGCUCUUUCGGCCGGGAAGAAAUCGUAUCAGCUAAUACCUGGUGCGGAUGACGGUACCGGCAUAAGAAGCACCGGCUAACUACGUGCCAGCCGCCGCCGUAAGAC